UGGAAUCAAAAUGGGGGCAGUGAUGCGGUGCACAUGCCUCCAUUGCAGCAAGGUAUGUAAUUUUCUCCCGCACAACUACAAACUAUGGAGAACAAAAUCGGGUUAAAACCAAAGUGGGAAAUAGGAAACUUAUCAAUAUCAAUCUCAUUCCCAUAUAAUAUGGGAUUUUUUUAUGUGGGUGAUUUUGGAUAUCAUCAUAUCCAACAAUCUUCAUCUUGAUAUUAAAAUCACCUGAUCACCAUGCCAACUUCCAAUGGAUAGCUUUAUGAAUUCAUCUUUUUUUGCCAAAUAAAUUCUUUCACCAUUUUUGCUGGAAAGAUUGUGCUUGCUAUCAUAUUUCUCCACCUCAAUUAAAACACUCGCAUACUUUGCAAUGUGUUUUUCUACAAUCGAAUGCACAAACACUAGCCUUGUACUAAGCAAUGCGCUCUAAUAGCAUUCGUUGAAAAUAAAAACCAAGGUUUAACAAAAAUAAAAGAAAAAAAAAUAGUGCAGAAAAAUAAAAGAACAGACACACAAAGAUUUACGUGGUUCAGUAAGUUGCUUACGUCCAUGGGGCAGCAAAGUUCUCUUCCACUAAUCAGAAAAAUAUCAUAUACACAUGGAGAAUACAAGGGAUUACAAGUUCUCUCUCA
rnacentral:lncRNA from 1 species